rnacentral:rRNA from 1 species
GACGAACGCUGGCGGCGUGCUUAACACAUGCAAGUCGAACGGAAAGGCCCUGCUUGCAGGGUACUCGAUUGGCGAACGGGUGAGUAACACGUGGUUGAUCUGCCCUGCACUUCGGGAUAAGCCUGGGAAACUGGGUCUAAUACCGGAUAGGAGCCAUUUUUAGUGUGAUGGUUGGAAAGUUUUUUCGGUGUAGGAUGAGCUCGCGGCCUAUCAGCUUGUUGGUGGGGUAAUGGCCUACCAAGGCGGCGACGGGUAGCCGGACUGAGAGGGUGGACGGGCACAUUGGGACUGAGAUACGGCCCAGACUCCUACGGGAGGCAGCAGUGGGGAAUAUUGAACAAUGGGCGGAAGCCUGAUGCAGCGACGCCGCGUGGGGGAUGACGGACUUCGGGUUGUAAACUCAGUUCGCUAGGGACGAAGCUUUUUGUGACGGUACCUAGAUAAGAAGCACCGGCUAACUACGUG